ensembl:lincRNA
UUCCCCAUUUUCUUUCCAUUUACCCUCCUCCCUUUGUCUCUAGAUUCCCUUUCCUCAUUUCAUUAUUCUUUUUAUCAUUAUUGUUAUUAGCUAUAGCUCACGGAAUGCUUACAUUCAUUUGUAGGUAUUUGGUACAUACACGUGGCACAUCUUGCAUCUUUUAAACCCCUUCCCUUCCCCGCUUCCCUUCUAAAUGGCUGCCUCCAUCCUCGUUUCUCCUGGCUUCCAUUUCUCUUCCUGUAGAUUUCACAUCAUCUCCUCAGAAGCUUCUUGCAGCGACCCUGGAAACCACCUGCCUUAUCUUAAUGGUCACGGUGAUAGUGAUGGUGACAGUUGUAAUUCCCUAAGUCCACAACCUUUCUUCAGCAUAUCAUUGUGGUCAUUGUCCAAACGAGUGGCUAAUGUUUUCAAACAAUUGUUAUUGUUUUGGAGUGGAAAAGAAAAAUUGGACUGAGAGUUUGGCAUCCUGCACUUCUAAGAAGUCUAACCUAUUUUAUAUAGACGAUGAGAAAGAAAUGGUAAGAUUUUAACUCUUUCAGUCAGUUAAUUAACAGCUUUAUUAAUAUAUGUACAACUCAUCCUUAUUCUUACAUUUUUUUCAUUUAAAGGUCUAUAUAAUAUUUUAUUGCUUGACUUCAAAAUUUUAUUUGUUUACUGCUCAUGCACAUUUAAUUAUUACCAUAUUUAGCUUUGCUUAGUUAUUACUAGAAAGCCAUGCUAAUACAAAAGAUUUUUUUCCUGAUAUAACUUUUGAUAUAUAAUUUUGCCACACAUAAAGAAAUCUAAACAUCUCGUGAUGGUUCAGACUGAUCACAAAGUAAGUAGUUAGACUCACUAACGUCAGUUUACAGAGUACAACCCUGCAGCCGUGGGUGCCCUGGCCCUGUGUAACCUCAUUCGUUCUUUUUCUCCUAACCCACCAUUGUGACUUUUGCCUUUGUAAGUUAGUUUGACCUGGUUCUGAAUUUUCUGUGAAUGGAAUCAGGCUAUCUAUAUUUUUGCAUCUUUUUCCGUUCAUCCUUGUAUGGUUUGGGGGUGAUUCACUAGCACUUCAGUUUGCUCAUUUUUAGAAUGCAGCAGUUUCAGAUCCACUGCACCUGUGAUCUGGAUGGAAAGAGUGAGUCACCUGUUCUCAGGGGCAAAGGGACUUCCUAGGUAGAGCAUUUGUAGCUCUGGAAUCCCGCUUUGUUGGAACUUCACUGUCCAUCUUUGCCCUGUUUUCCCUUGAGGAAGAGAAACAUUUCCACUGCAGCUUACUAUUGACUGAUCUCUUGAGGGAUCACCCUUACCAGGGUUUUCUGCCCUGUCUGGUGCUGCUGGAGGGGUUGCUGUUACAGCAGAGGAGGACUAAGCUUAGAGAAGCCACUGAUUAUUCCCACGCUGCGUGCCUGCAGCCUGAAGGCCAACGUCUUUUUACUCUGCUGAUGACAGACUUUAAGAAGCCCUAACAAUCUAGCUCUCUAAUCCUGGGCACCAAACUUGUUCACUUUUUCUUUCUAAUUUUCAGAAUUACCCUUUAGUUAUGUCUUUCAUUAAUUUCUGGGUUUAUGUUAGAAAAAGAAACAGGAAACUGUUGCUGCAGUUUUGUCUAAAUCGUUAGUAUUGCAAUAAUGCAGGCAGAAGGGGACAGGUUAUUUAGCUAACGGUGUGAUGCCCAGAUUUCCAUGUCACUUAUUUCCUCAGUAGUAAGUGAUAAUUUUCUUCUAAGGUCCAAACUCUGAGAGACCUACUAGAAAAAUACACUUUUUUUAAUUACAGCAUCUGGAGAGCUUAAUACACGGUGUCUAGAAACUUGUAGAAGUCUUGCUGGGUUUGUUUUGCGAAAUGAGCCAUCAUAUUACAUGAAUCACCAGCAACUCAUUAACAUAAGAAAAAAGUGAAUAUUAAGAGUAAAUAUCUAGGAGUUUUCAAUCGAUCUUAAAAACAGUUGUGAAAUUUUUAGUGGUGGAAAAGUUGUUUUUUACUUUAAUGUGGUUUAUAUUGAUUUUGUAUGUUGAACAUCAAAAAUUAUACAAAAUAAUACAUUAUUUUUUAAAAUAAUAAAAGCUGUCAUACUGUUUAUGUGCAUGGAAUUAUUUGUUUCUCAUAGAAAUUUCUAAGCUUCCUCUCACAUCCAUCCUGGAUUGGUGUCUCCCGUUCUGGCAGAGAUCACCCAUGGCUGUCGGUAAAUGGCUCAGCAUUCAAUAUGCAGUAUGUUUUAUUUUUUAAAUGGUUGCUACAUGUACAAGAAGAAAUACAAAAAACCCCAAGAAAAAUGUUAUUAUUAACUUAUAUGAAAGUGCA